GAUGAACGCUGGCGGCGUGCUUAACACAUGCAAGUCGAACGAGAAGUGGAGACGGAUACCUUCGGGCGGAAGACUUUACUUCGAGUGGCGGACGGGUGAGUAACGCGUGGGUAACCUGCCUCAUACAGGGGGAUAACAGUUGGAAACGACUGAUAAUACCGCAUAAGACCACAGCACCGCAUGGUGCGGGGGUAAAAACUCCGGUGGUAUGAGAUGGAUCCGCGUUCGAUUAGCCAGUUGGCGGGGUAACGGCCCACCAAAGCGACGAUCGAUAGCCGAUCUGAGAGGAUGACCGACCACAUUGGGACUGAGACACGGCCCAAACUCCUACGGGAGGCAGCAGUGGGGAAUAUUGCACGAUGGGGGAAAGCCUGAUGCAGCGACGCCGCGUGAGUGAAGAAGUAUUUCGGUAUGUAAAGCUCUAUCAGCAGCGAAGAAAAUGACAGUACCUGAGGAAGAAGCCCCGGCUAACUACGUG
rnacentral:rRNA from 1 species